rnacentral:rRNA from 1 species
CCUACGGGUGGCUGCAGUGGGGAAUAUUGGACAAUGGGGGCAACCCUGAUCCAGCCAUGCCGCGUGUGUGAAGAAGGCCCUCGGGUUGUAAAGCACUUUCAGUGAGGAAGAACGCCUGGUGGUUAAUACCCAUCAGGAAAGACAUCACUCACAGAAGAAGCACCGGCUAACUCCGUGCCAGCAGCCGCGGUAAUACGGAGGGUGCGAGCGUUAAUCGGAAUUACUGGGCGUAAAGCGCGCGUAGGUGGCUUGAUAAGCCGGUUGUGAAAGCCCCGGGCUCAACCUGGGAACGGCAUCCGGAACUGUCAAGCUAGAGUGCAGGAGAGGAAGGUAGAAUUCCCGGUGUAGCGGUGAAAUGCGUAGAGAUCGGGAGGAAUACCAGUGGCGAAGGCGGCCUUCUGGACUGACACUGACCCUGAGGUGCGAAAUCGUGGGUAGCAAACAGGAUUAGAUACCCGAGUAGUC